ACGUGAAAUUGUUGACUGAUUGUAUAUUUGACGUCACUAUACACAUUAAACGUCAUUACGACGUCAUAC